UUUAUGGAGAGUUUGAUCCUGGCUCAGGAUGAACGCUGGCGGCGUGCCUAAUACAUGCAAGUCGAGCGAACAGAUAAGGAGCUUGCUCCUUUGACGUUAGCGGCGGACGGGUGAGUAACACGUGGGUAACCUACCUAUAAGACUGGGAUAACUUCGGGAAACCGGAGCUAAUACCGGAUAAUAUUUCGAACCGCAUGGUUCGAUAGUGAAAGAUGGUUUUGCUAUCACUUAUAGAUGGACCCGCGCCGUAUUAGCUAGUUGGUAAGGUAACGGCUUACCAAGGCGACGAUACGUAGCCGACCUGAGAGGGUGAUCGGCCACACUGGAACUGAGACACGGUCCAGACUCCUACGGGAGGCAGCAGUAGGGAAUCUUCCGCAAUGGGCGAAAGCCUGACGGAGCAACGCCGCGUGAGUGAUGAAGGUCUUCGGAUCGUAAAACUCUGUUAUUAGGGAAGAACAUACGUGUAAGUAACUGUGCACGUCUUGACGGUACCUAAUCAGAAAGCCACGGCUAACUACGUGCCAGCAGCCGCGGUAAUACGUAGGUGGCAAGCGUUAUCCGGAAUUAUUGGGCGUAAAGCGCGCGUAGGCGGUUUUUUAAGUCUGAUGUGAAAGCCCACGGCUCAACCGUGGAGGGUCAUUGGAAACUGGAAAACUUGAGUGCAGAAGAGGAAAGUGGAAUUCCAUGUGUAGCGGUGAAAUGCGCAGAGAUAUGGAGGAACACCAGUGGCGAAGGCGACUUUCUGGUCUGUAACUGACGCUGAUGUGCGAAAGCGUGGGGAUCAAACAGGAUUAGAUACCCUGGUAGUCCACGCCGUAAACGAUGAGUGCUAAGUGUUAGGGGUUUCCGCCCCUUAGUGCUGCAGCUAACGCAUUAAGCACUCCGCCUGGGGAGUACGACCGCAAGGUUGAAACUCAAAGGAAUUGACGGGGACCCGCACAAGCGGUGGAGCAUGUGGUUUAAUUCGAAGCAACGCGAAGAACCUUACCAAAUCUUGACAUCCUUUGACAACUCUAGAGAUAGAGUUUUCCCCUUCGGGGGACAAAGUGACAGGUGGUGCAUGGUUGUCGUCAGCUCGUGUCGUGAGAUGUUGGGUUAAGUCCCGCAACGAGCGCAACCCUUAAGCUUAGUUGCCAUCAUUAAGUUGGGCACUCUAAGUUGACUGCCGGUGACAAACCGGAGGAAGGUGGGGAUGACGUCAAAUCAUCAUGCCCCUUAUGAUUUGGGCUACACACGUGCUACAAUGGACAAUACAAAGGGCAGCGAAACCGUGAGGUCAAGCAAAUCCCAUAAAGUUGUUCUCAGUUCGGAUUGUAGUCUGCAACUCGACUACAUGAAGCUGGAAUCGCUAGUAAUCGUAGAUCAGCAUGCUACGGUGAAUACGUUCCCGGGUCUUGUACACACCGCCCGUCACACCACGAGAGUUUGUAACACCCGAAGCCGGUGGAGUAACCAUUUGGAGCUAGCCGUCGAAGGUGGGACAAAUGAUUGGGGUGAAGUCGUAACAAGGUAGCCGUAUCGGAAGGUGCGGCUGGAUCACCUCCUUU
rnacentral:rRNA from 1 species